rnacentral:tRNA from 1 species
UGGAGUAUAGCCAAGUGGUAAGGCAUCGGUUUUUGGUAUCGGUAUGCAAAGGUUCGAAUCCUUUUACUCCAG